rnacentral:lncRNA from 1 species
UUUUACCAACAAAUUUAGAAUUAUUUCAAGUUGCUUUAUGUUAAAAUAUAUAACAAGUUACAUUUUCUUGCUGCAUUAAUAAGUUUUUGAUUUUUAAAAUCUGAUAUUUCAGCAACUAAAGGAAUACUUUUCUUUAUAGGUCUGUUCUGUUUUUAACCUCAUUGACUGUAUAUGUUUUAUUUACCCGUGCCAGGAGUCUAGAAUCGUGCUUAGGUGCCAUUCUUAGGUAUGAAAACAAGUUUGGAGACCAAUGCAGGUCUCUGUGCAGAAAUCUGGGGCUCUAAAUGAAUUACCAAACCAAUAGGAAAGUUAAAAUACUACUCAUGAUGUAGUGUGUCAUCUGAAGCUAUGAUAGAAUAUAUUAUUUCUAAAAUAGUAUUGAGAAGUUAAUUGUUCAGUCCAUAGUAGUGUAAGUGAAGUGUGGAGGUCAGCCAUAGUUGUCUUUCUUCAGCAGGUACUCUAACCAGAGACUGGGUUCUGUGGAAAAUAGAAUUAUAUUCUUGGUUUGGGAUCAACAAAUGUUUUGUUAUUGUUUUAAUGUUGCUGGCAUUGCCUGAAACAAAGUGCCCUGUUAUUCCUCUUAUGUCAUCAGAACUCUGCUUACUGAAGUUGAAGUUUAAUCUUAGGAUCUAGAAUUCUUGUGGUUGGUCGUGUAUUAAGAAAAGAAGGUGGUUUGAUUUUAUUUCUUGUACUUGGUGGAACCUGUUACUAUACAAGUCAUGUUUUGACCUGUAAGCCGAGCAAAUCUGAAAGGUGAAUCGUUAAUGGUAGUAUAAUUGUUUCAUUUGAAACUGUCAGUUUCUUCAAGUCACUUCUCUGAAAAAAAUUAUGAUAGAUUGAUAGCCUGCCAGAAAAUAGCAAUUUCUAAGGUGCUGCCAUCCACACUUACUUAUUGUGAAAUAUGAAAAUCCAGAGUGGUUUGUAUGAGAGGGGAAAUACUGGCUCUAAGCUUUCUACAGAAAACAGGAAAUUCAUGCUGUUGUUGACAUAAUUUUAAAGGAAACUUUUAACAAGAAAAUUCAUGAGGGAUACAAUCAAACAUAGUUAAUCUCUUGAGUGCUAAUCAUUUGAGUAUAGUCCACAUCAGGAAGUUUUAUGAGGUUGAAAACUUUACUUUGAAAUAUUUAAUUGGGAGACUAGACCAUUUCUUUUUCCAAGUCAUUCUGAUUUAUUGUCCUAGUAAAUGUAUGUGUAUGCAUAUAUACUGAUGUAUUGACUGAAUGUGUGUGUGUGUGUGUGUGCGCGUGUAAAUCUGUUUUCAUAGGGAACAUACAUUGAUGGCUCCUAGUCUAUUUUAUACUAAAACUUAAAAAAAUUUGCUGCACUUUGCAGUUGCCACUUUUUAAAAGAUUAAUGCUUUGCACAUUUCAGUAGGCCUUAAAGAUGAAUUGCUCACCAACAUUUUAGAAAUACACUGCUUACAUGUGACAUACUCUAAACAAAGUCAUAGUAAACUGUUCUCUUAGGUUCAUGUAUUAUUGAGCAAAUAAGGAUGUCCUUUCUUAAAAUUUCUACAUUUAUGUUUGCUUUUGUGUAAAAUCUUUAUUAGUUUGUAAGUUUCUCAAAGAGGAGGUUUAUACUGGAAGCAGUAUUUCUAAAGUACAGAGAUUCGACCAUGGAUUGAAUACAGUAGUGGAGGAAUGCUGGUAUUGUGGCCUAAUUUAUCCUUUUAAACUGUAUGUCAUUAGUAUUAGCCAAAACCUCAGAGUGGAGUGUCUUGGGCUGAAUGAUCUUCUCAACUUUGCCUUGUUUCCCAUCUCAUAAAGGCUCCUUCUGGUUCUUUUCCCUUCCAAGGAUUGUGAGUCAUGCUCACAUAGGCCUGGGAUCUUCUGGAUGGGGUCGGGGAGGAGGUGGGGGUUUCCUGUGGCUGGCCCAGAGUUCUAGCCAAUGGAAUCAUUCAAGAAUGCCUAAAGUUCAGGGGUGGGAAUGCCAUAUAUUGGUGUUAAUCACUUGGCACUUUCUUGGGCACCAAUAUUAGCACUGUUUCAUUUUUAAUAACUGGAAGCACUUAAUGAUUAUUUUGUUUGUUUAAUUUCAACUUAAGGAUAUUGAGGGUCAGAGAAGUAAGGUUUAUUUCUUGUUUAUGUUUUCUGGAAUUUAUAGGGUGUUUGUAGAAGGGAUAAAUGGGUUACCUAAUGAGCCAUUCUUCUAGGCUCUGUAAGGUAUGCCCUUUUGGCUAGGAUAUUUUAAAAUAAUUUGCAAGCUUUUAAUAUUGUGCUUUGUAGAAAUUUACGAUUUUUAAAAAUAAUUUGCAAUUGAUAGAUUACACUUAAAUUUAUAAAGUAUCCAAUUUUAAGUUUC